GUUUAGGGGAAAACAUUGGAAGAGAUGGAAGAAACAUUCUCGAAACCAAUCCUGAAGCUAGGCAGACAAAAAUAAAAGGUUUAACGUGUAGUAAGAUGCAGCCGAGCAGAGCAAGACUAUAUUCUGUUAUUAAUAUUUCUUUAAAUAUUAAAUAAUUAUUGAAUAUUU